GUGUAAAAUGGAAUUUCUUGGACCAGAUUGCAAAAUAUUGGGAAUUACAGAGAAGUACUGAGAAUUCCACAUGUGGAGAGAUCUUGGACUUGUUCAGCUUAAUAAGGUCCAGACAAGGCUGGCCUGAAAGUGGGCCUCCGAGUGUCCCGUGCUCCUCACGGCCGCCUGUGCGGGCGCACACCUGGGGUUCAGGAGGCUCCGCAUGUGCAUCCCUUGGGUACGACCAGCUUCUCCCCUUUGUCCUCUUCUGAAGCUGAGGCAAGAACUGGCACUUCGAUGGCUGUCGCCCUGGGUAUCUUCACCUUGCACCAGACACCGUGCCAACUCUGUUCCCGAGCCAUGGCUGGGUGGGGAGGGCAUCAUCUGAUGCAAGAGCCCUCUGAACCCAGGCCCCUUAUACCCACAGCGGUUAUACACCCAGAGACUCAUCUGACCACCCUGGCGCACGUGACUGCACUCUGAGGGGUCAGCGAGGCCGCCUGUGCUCAGGGCCAUGGAGUCGGUGCCUGGAGCAGCCUCAGCCCGCAGCCUGGCAGCUGCUCAGCCAAUUUCUGCCUGGGUUUCCACGGUGCCCUCAAGGUGGACACAUGAGUCCAGGCCAGGCUGGUUCCCUGUGGACCAGUGUCCUCCCUGGCUCUGGCCAACCGCCAACCGCCAACCGCCAGCCUGGCGGCCCCUGCCAGGGGGCAGCGUGCAGCCUGGAUGCUCAGCAGUCCCAGAGCCAGCGCCGCUGAGGCCAGGGACGGCCUCCGCCGCAGCGUGACCCGUUGUUUGCCAAGCGGCGUUUGUGCACGGUGUCAGCCAGGGCGUGGAGCGAUGGGAUUCUCUGAGCCCUGGAAGAUCUGGCCGCCCUGGAGAAGGCGAGGAAGCAGCAAACACCAACAGUGGAGAGUACUGGGGUAUCCUGGCCCCUGCAACGUCCUGUCUCCCCAGUUUUGUGUGUCUCAUUUCUGCCACUGUAACUGCACAAAUACACUGGCGUUGCGCGUGAUCCGCACGUGUGAUGUGACUCCUGCCCAGGAGCGGGCCGCCCUGGCCGCCCCCGCCCUCGCUGGCCUGGGGGCGCGGGCCGGGCUGGGCUCUGCCUGUCCAGCUGCAGGCCGCUCUGACCGAGCCCGGCGCUGCCCAUGGCCUGACUUCACGGCGCUGCCUUUGCUCCCUACCCCAGCCCAGCUCAGGAAAGAUUAACCGGAGCAUCUGGGGAGAUGCGGGGAAAGGGCACCUCCUGGCACAGAGCCCAUCUGCACCUCAGUGCCAGGGGGAGGCCUGCAUGCUGGCCGUCUCCCUUGUGGCCAGUAGAGGGCGGUGGGGCUGAGGCCCCGGGGCUCCCUGCAGCACCCAUCUUUCUUAGGGCUGUGGCUGACCCUUGCGCAGAAGGGCCGAAGGCCGCGGGGACUCUGGACAACAGUCUGUAGUCUGGGGUCGGGUCGUGCUCACAGGAGUUCCUGUGAGCCUUCUAGGGCUUAUCUUUCCUUGAGUGGGGUUGACCUUGUGAUGAGGAACAGAACUACUGUUUAGGGUCCUGCUCUCUAUGGUCACGUAUCGUUUUAAGAGAUUGUGUCAGUAAAAGUAGCUCAGGCUAAACUCCAGGUCCCCUUCAACAGGCCAGGUUGAAAGAGCACUGCCAUGUCCCUGGAAGUCCCCCUAAGCCAGGUGGUUUUCAGAAGUGCUUCCCAAGGUCACACUGGGCCAGGCUUUGCCCUGGUCUUGCUUUUGAGCAGAAACCAGCCCAGCCCCCACAGAGCUUCACGGCCAUGCUCCUGGGCUGGAUCUAUCUGCUUUGACAUUCGGUUCCAGCCUGUGUUUAUGAGGUCUCCGGUGGCUUCAAGCACCAAGGAGCCUUGGGGCUACUGGAAAAGUCAUUGGUGUCGUUUUCAGCUUAGAUGCUGAACAGUUGAUCCCUACUCUGAGGAUCUGGGGGUGGAGUGACGGAAGGCAAGCCGGGUGAUUGGUUUGGGCACUGAAUCCCGCUUCGAGUGCUAUCAGCAUGGCAGAGGCAUGGGCAUUUGCCCAGAUACUCCUGUAGGUGGGCAGUUGGAAUUUCUGGCCUCUCAUUUUUACAUAGAUUAAAGAGUUCCUCUUUUAUCUACUCCUAUGCAUGAGUGACUCACAUAAUGACCAGAAAGGAGUGAGAGUCUGCAGGAUGUUGGCGCUCCUGGGGAACAGAAGCAGCAUCUGUGAGACAGCCCAGCAGGCUUCCCAGAGGGCCCACUCAGUCCCUAUGGGGCCCACUGAGGCUGCAGUGGUCAGUUACAUGAAGUAGCACACAUGGUCCCCCCAGUGCUGCUCAGGGCUUCUGAGCUGCAGAAGCCCUGGGAUCGCCCAGGUGUCACCGCCCAGGGGUCCCCAGCACAUGGGACUUGAAACCCACUUGCCACCUGAGGACAGAUCAAAGGAAGCUGCGAAGCAGUCACCGCACAUUGUAAGGUGAGGCACAGACACGAGAAUAAGCGCCCGCAGCUGGCAGGCGUGUCCAAGGGGCUGGUGACUGAAUGGAUUUUGCCUUCUGACUGGGAGUGGGAAGGGAAAGAUUAAGGGGGCAGUAGAAGCUUUCUGGUGUGGGGAUGAAGGUGCAGCGGGGUGGCGGGAACCAGGUGAGAGCUCCCCUGGAGGGGGUUGUGUGCUCCUGGCCCAAAGGAUAAGUUCCCUGCUGAGGGAAGGACUCUGGCUUGUGAGUUUUUGCAGGCAGGUUCUGAGCAAGCUUGAGGGACUGUGAGGUGAGUAUUUGGACUGCUGAAUGCUGAGUUAAGGGGAGAGACACUAUAGGAAGGCAGUAGUUAAGCUUCAGGUUUGAGCCUUAGCUCAAGGGACAGUGGUCACCAUCCCCUGCACUUUCCUUCCCACCUCACCGGGAGGCCGGCUGGCUCCCCCUUCCUGCACGGGGAGCAGAAAGUUGAAACAAGUUGGUGGCUGAGUUGUGGGUGUCAGCCUGCAUUGGAACCACUUUGCCCCCUUCUGGGGCACCCUGACCCUUGCGAGGAGCAGGUGGUGAUCUGUUGACCCCAACGCAAUCCUGGACUUGAGCACCUUCCCAGAACAAUCUGGUCCGACUGAACUGUGGUCCAAUGUGCAAGUCCCUCAGCCACAGGGAAAGCGCGGGGCCUGCAGGGAGCAUGUGCUUGCUCUCUCCACACCAGAUGUCAGUCUUAGGGGAGGGAGACGGGGCAGCAGAGAAGCCUGGGAAGGUCAUGAACCCCUUCUUAUACUAAGGCCCAUUGGAGACCCGGUCAAGUAAUCUUUCCUCUGGACACUCCUGUAACCUGAGAAAUACGUAGAUCUCCGGCCGAGGACAUGCCCUGUGUCUAUGGGUCGGACGGUGAACCCUAGCUCAGUACAUUAAGGGUUGAGGAUCUAUUGGCACGUUUCUUCCCAUAAAGCUGAUCAGGCUGCCUGUUGGGUUUCUUGGUCAGGGAGGCCCAUCUCCUCUAGGAUGGCCUACUUUUAGGCUGUCAGAAGUGGAGCAGGCAAGUCCCAUGUAGGUUGCAUGUAGCAGCAGUUAGGAAGGAAGGAAGGCGCGGGCCUCCCUGCUGGUGGAAGGGGUUAAGCUGCAGCACAGUGAUGCCAUCUGCAGCACAUUUUGAUUCCAGGGCCAAAGAGCUGACCCACCUGGCACAGCAGACCUCUCCUCUCUUGCCCGCGGCUCCCCUCA